rnacentral:rRNA from 1 species
GACGAACGCUGGCGGCGUGCUUAACACAUGCAAGUCGAACGGAAAGGCCCUGCUUUUGUGGGGUGCUCGAGUGGCGAACGGGUGAGUAACACGUGAGUAACCUGCCCUUGACUUUGGGAUAACUUCAGGAAACUGGGGCUAAUACCGGAUAGGAGCUCCUGCUGCAUGGUGGGGGUUGGAAAGUUUCGGCGGUUGGGGAUGGAAUCGCGGCGCAUCAGCUUGUUGGUUGGGUAGUGGCUUACCAAGGCCUUGAGGGGUAGCCGGGCUGGGAGGGUGACCGGCCACAUUGGGACGGGGAUGCGACCCAGACCCCAAUGGGACGCAGCGGUGGGGAAUAUUGCAUAAGGGGAGGAAGGCUGAUGCAGUAACGCCGCGCGGGGGAUGUCGGCAUUGGGGUUGGAAUCCGCUUUCGUUUGUGACGAAGCGUUAGUGACGGUAACGGGUAAAGAAGCACCGGCUAACUACGUG